AGAUUGAACGCUGGCGGCAUGCUUUACACAUGCAAGUCGAACGGUAACAGGCCGCAAGGUGCUGACGAGUGGCGAACGGGUGAGUAAUGCAUCGGAACGUGCCCAGUCGUGGGGGAUAACGCAGCGAAAGCUGUGCUAAUACCGCAUACGAUCUAUGGAUGAAAGCGGGGGACUGAAAGGCCUCGCGCGAUUGGAGCGGCCGAUGUCAGAUUAGCUAGUUGGUGGGGUAAAGGCCCACCAAGGCGACGAUCUGUAGCUGGUCUGAGAGGACGACCAGCCACACUGGAACUGAGACACGGUCCAGACUCCUACGGGAGCAGCAGUGGGGAAUUUGGACAAGUGGGCGCAAGCCUGAUCCAGCAAUGCCGCGUGCAGGAAGAAGGCCGUUACGGG
rnacentral:rRNA from 1 species